GCAUUGGUGGUUCAGUGGUAGAAUUCUUGCCUUCUAUGUGGGAGACCUGGAUUUGAUUCCUGGCCAUUUCU
rnacentral:tRNA from 1 species